GAUGAUAUUAGUGAUUAAGCAACAACAUUACACUAAGAACGAUCAACUAUCAAUUCCGUAUCGAGUAUGAACACUUUUGGUUAGCUUCAGAAUCUGAUGUUUAUUUCAAAAAUGAAGACACGUCUCCAAUACAACUUGAGAGCCUUUAUGUAAGUGGCUGGAAAACUUUUCCAGGGCAAAACAAUUCAAUCUUGCUUUGACAAUGAGUGAUCUAAAGUCUCAGGAAAGAUCAAAAGCUGGAAAAUACUUAAGGAAAUGAUAGUGGAACUGAUUAGGGUAAAGACUCAUUUAAAUGACUUGAAUGAGUCAAGCUUUUAAUGCUCUGCAUUGGGUGAACUAACCUUCGUUAUGCUGCCAGCAGAUUAGGUUCUUUCCUCCAAAAGACUUGAACCCAAAUAUGGCUUCAUUUUUAAAUCUGGUCCAACACGAGUGUGACACAUAAAAUGAGCUUGUUUUUGUAUUACCCGAUGCCCCCGCAUUAGCAGGAUUAUUCUUCUUUUUUUUUUUCUAGUUAUUGUAUGUGUUGUAAUAUAUGUAGCUGAUAGCAGUGGCCAACUUAGCUUUGGUGCCAACAUGAUAGCUGCUUCGGUUGCUGGUGCAGCAAUGGCAAUUGCCACAAGUCCGUUGUGGGUUGUUAAGACGAGAUCACAAGUAGAGUCAUUUAUGCUUUUUUUACUGGUUUAAAGUUUGAUAAAAGUAUUUAAAUUAUUGAUGGAUUGUCUAAGAUAUUUCUGUUUAACAGAAUCUUGUGAUUCAUAGUGAUAGGUUGACUCGAUUCAUGACGACAAUCGGCACAUAUGUUAUUUUUUGUUUAAAUUCUCUUUGGUUUAGACUCAAGGGAUGAGAGCAGGUGUGGUUCCUUAUACAAGCAUAUCAUCAGCUUUGAAGCGUGUCAUGCUGGAGGAUGGCUUCCGAGGUUGGUACAGCCGUACAGGUGAUUCGGUCAAGGCUUCAAGAACAAGGGCAAGUCAGAAACCCUGAAAUCUAUUACAAGGGGGUCAUUGAUUGUGUCAAGAAAGUUUUCAAAAAAGAAGGUAUUUGUGGAUUCUACCGCGGCUGUGCAACUAAUCUUUUGAGGACGACUCCUUCAUCUGUCGUCACAUUUACAAGCUACGAGAUGAUCAACGGAUUCUUGCAGCGCAUCCUUCCACCUCAUGAGAACCCAUCUAAUCCUGACCGACAUUAGAGGUGGCAAAAUGGGUGGGUCAGGUAGAAGGUCUGAACAAUUUCAGGUCAAAAUUGGUCAAUUUUGUAGUAGUCUGGUGGGAAUGACCUAGAAUACUUGUUUCCCUAGAAGUUUGAUAUUUUAUAAAAGAAUAGUGUUUCAAAUGUGAUUACAACAACUAUAUAAUUUCACUAAUAAUCUAGUUUUAAAUUUGAUACAGCGGUUUUGGCAUUAGAAAUACACUUUGGUGGCUUUUUCCCUUCAGAAUCACUUCCUUUUCAAGCUAAUUUUUUUCAUCUGGCCCAUUUAACCUUUUAGAGAUACAUCCUAACCCUUUAGAUAUACAUCAUAACCCGACUUGACCGAUUUAUUAGUGACUGGGACAAAAUUGCCACCUCCACACAUGAUGAUGAUUUGAUGAAGCCCGUGGGAUGGAACCGCAGGAUCUUGAGAGCACACUGGUUUUCUGCAGAAUUCUAAAUUUAAGCUGGAUUUCAAAACCUGGUAUACCUAAGGGGCGUUGGCAGUGAUUCAAGAUUCCAAGGCGUCAUAUUCUUGUCUUUUCUUAGAGUCAAUAGAUUUUUAGUAGUUUUUUUCUUUCCAAUGUUUGUACCCUUGUUAGAUAUUUAUAAGUACAAUCCAACUCAAUCCAUUCAGAAAUAAGAGCUAAUACUAAUUUUAUUUGUAUAGAAGAUAAAAGACUAUGUUUGCCUUUUAUUGAAGUUCCAUGCAUUGAAUGAUGGUGCGAGAUCUAAUUUAGUGGUCGAUUAUUAUAUCAAUGUACCAUUUACUGCCUCUGUUAACAAUUGAAGAAUAAUGGAAAUCUUGACUA